rnacentral:rRNA from 1 species
AUUGAACGCUAGCGGGAUGCCUUACACAUGCAAGUCGAACGGAGUGGCGAACGGGUGAGUAAUGUAUCGGAACGUGCCCAGUAGCGGGGGAUAACUACGCGAAAGCGUAGCUAAUACCGCAUUCUAUUGGAGCGGCCGAUAUCGGAUGAGCUAGUUGGGGGGGUAACGGCUAUCCAAGGCGACGAUCCGUAGCUGGUUGGAGAGGACGACCAGCCAGAAGGGGAGUGAGACACGGCCCAGACGCCUGCGGGAGGCAGCAGAGGGGAAUUGUGGACAAGGGGGGAAACCCUGAUCCAUCCAGCCCGCGUGUGCGGUGAAGGCCUGCGGGUGGUAAAGCACUUUUGGGAGGAGAGCGGUACCUGCAGAAUAAGCACCGGCUAACGACGUGCCAGCAGCCGAGGUAAUUC